ensembl:snRNA U1 U1 spliceosomal RNA
AUAUUUGCAGAGGAGACAGCAUAUUCACCAUGGUGGUUAUCCCAUUUUCCCAGGGGUAGGUCUGUCUCUUGCAUUCUGGGUAGGCUGGCCUCUGUGAGUUUCCCUGAAUCCAGGAAACUCAACUGCACAGUUUUGUGGCAAUGGGGGGACUGCGUUCAUGCUUCCUGCUU